AUUCAACCGCUUACCUCUCUUCGCGGUAUACACGAGCCCCGCCUUACCCAGGUUCGUCCCAACUUCUUUCAGCUCCUACUCCAUGUUCCUUCCACUUCUCGCAUUUUUCCAUUCUCCCCCUCUUCGCGACUCUCCUCACUCUCUCUCUUUAUCAUCCUCUCCUUGCGCUUAUCUAAUACCUUCUUAUCAUUUUUUCUACUCUACAGGCUACUCCUUUUUUAUUAUUCCAUGUUUGUUCUUCUUACCAGGAAUUUGUUACGAUUAAAUACGAUUUUUUUUCAAACUUAUCGUGCAUUAGAUUGCAGUCAAUCGCGAGUUACGGGCAAGAACGUAGUUUACGUUCAUUUAAUAUAACGUCAGGGUACAAAAUUGUUCCUUAGAUUCGAUGUACGCGUAAAGCUGAACGUGAUCGAGAGUAAGUAACGUGUUAAAGAACGUAUAUCCUCCGUUACUUGACAUGAACAAAAACUAAUACACUUCUGGAUGUGUGUAUGUACAUGUACUUAUGUACAAUUGUAAAUAGCGAAAAUAGACGCAACGUGGAUUUUCGUAUACCCGUGAAUCUGAUACCCCGCGCGUGCGUAUAUGUAGCUCGUAGACAGGAGGAUCACGUACCUCGGGUUAAAGGCAAGAGGUCCUACGCAUCGCAGACAACGAGAUACGGUCCUGAAUUCAACCGUAAACCGCCUGUCUGGUCGAGCACGCACCCGCGUCCCUCGAAUAACAAGAAGCAACGGAGCAACGAAGACGGACGUGAUGCUCUCGUACGUUUGCUCGCUCGCUCGCCUGCUCGCUCGCUGAAACCUGUUUCUUCAGGAUUUUUCCGUUUUCUUCAUUUCUGUAUGUUCAAAUUUUCUGCACCAUGUCGAAAUCUGCUUUACGCACGAUGCUCAGGAAAAUUUGGAUACCGAUUGGAAGCGGCCUAUGCCACUAAGGGAUGGAUAAUAAAUUAUAUUGCUAACCGUC